AGCAGCACCUCACGCUCAACCGGGUCAAGAGCGACAGGCAGCAGGCAUUCGAGGUG
rnacentral:SRP_RNA from 14 species